CCUAGAGAGGAUCCCUAAGACCUAACUACACCUUCUAACCGUCACAAAAAACAACACCCCUGAGAUCCUCUUCUUCUUCAACCUAGAACACGAGAGACCUUCAGCCGCCCACCACAAAACCAGCGUCGCCGCCCUUCAAUCUCCACAACCACAAAGCAACGGCCACCCAACCCCAAAAGAGAAUAGCAGCCCGUUAGCAACAACCCGUCUUCUUCACUUCAACUCACCCACUCGCCGGGAAACAAACCAACUGUCACCACUCUGUUUCCAUCUCUGCCAGACCCCAGCAGCAGAAUCGGUGACCUCCCCAUCGGCUCUCUUCUGCUUCAGAUCCAAAGAACACCCAGCUUGCCGGAACCUCUGCUUCUUCUUCUCCUCUUUAUAAAAAAUCGAUUCACCACCUGCCUGCCGCCGGGUUUUCUAGUCGGAAAUCCGGUAACACUUCUCAGAAACAACCGCUAGACUCACCAAACACACAUACGCUGACAGAAGCGAAAAACAGAUUUCAGAUUCAUGGAGUUCAUUUAAGUUCGAUUCAGUUGUUGGUCGAGUCCAGGUUUGUCGGCAAGUUCUGGUUUGUUGGUCUUGGUUGAAAUUUUCAUUCCGGAUUCAGAGUAGAUUCAAUCCCAUUCCUCAAAAUAAAACUAUCAUUAAAGAGUACAUGGAAUGCAAGUUCAGUGAUGCAUCAUAUGAGGCGGGCGUAAAAGUGACGACUGAUACAAGAUUCAUCCAAAGAGAGGAAGUUUCAAGUAACUCAGAUCAAUAAUCCAAGGAAAUGGGGAGACAACCUCUCUACCUCACACAAUGUAGAUGUAAGGUCUGCAUACACCACAUCCUCCCCAGAAUCCAUUUGUUGGAUUACAGUGGGAGGACAAGGUUUUCAGAGAAUUAGUAAUCUCAAAAUCGGCUAGAGGUCUGCUCCAUAUGGAUUUUGAUGAAUGUGCAACAUCAAAGGAAAGUCUUUGUGAGCAGUUCGAAAUUGUGGCCAAACGACAAUUUGAUCUAAUGGAAUUUAAUCACCAAGACUUUGGACAAUUAUGAUUUUUGUUAUUUCUGAUACUAUAAUAAUACAUUUGCUUUUUAUAAAGUUCAUUGCUAGCAUGCCCCUUGAGACAAUUUUCUUUAUUCGUUGAUGUAUUACACGAGGUUUACUCCUUGUUUGAAGUACAUUGCAAGUUUAUGCAUUUCAAUUAUUCUUUUAUUA